rnacentral:rRNA from 1 species
ACGAAGCGCUUGCUAUACAUGCAAGUCGAACGAACUCUGGUAUUGAUUGGUGCUUGCAUCAUGAUUUACAUUUGAGUGAGUGGCGAACUGGUGAGUAACACGUGGGAAACCUGCCCAGAAGCGGGGGAUAACACCUGGAAACAGAUGCUAAUACCGCAUAACAACUUGGACCGCAUGGUCCGAGUUUGAAAGAUGGCUUCGGCUAUCACUUUUGGAUGGUCCCGCGGCGUAUUAGCUAGAUGGUGGGGUAACGGCUCACCAUGGCAAUGAUACGUAGCCGACCUGAGAGGGUAAUCGGCCACAUUGGGACUGAGACACGGCCCAAACUCCUACGGGAGGCAGCAGUAGGGAAUCUUCCACAAUGGACGAAAGUCUGAUGGAGCAACGCCGCGUGAGUGAAGAAGGGUUUCGGCUCGUAAAACUCUGUUGUUAAAGAAGAACAUAUCUGAGAGUAACUGUUCAGGUAUUGACGGUAUUUAACCAGAAAGCCACGGCUAACUACGUGCCAGCAGCCGCGGUAAUACGUAGGUGGCAAGCGUUGUCCGGAUUUAUUGGGCGUAAAGCGAGCGCAGGCGGUUUUUUAAGUCUGAUGUGAAAGCCUUCGGCUCAACCGAAGAAGUGCAUCGGAAACUGGGAAACUUGAGUGCAGAAGAGGACAGUGGAACUCCAUGUGUAGCGGUGAAAUGCGUAGAUAUAUGGAAGAACACCAGUGGCGAAGGCGGCUGUCUGGUCUGUAACUGACGCUGAGGCUCGAAAGUAUGGGUAGCAAACAGGAUUAGAUACCCUGGUAGUCCAUACCGUAAACGAUGAAUGCUAAGUGUUGGAGGGUUUCCGCCCUUCAGUGCUGCAGCUAACGCAUUAAGCAUUCCGCCUGGGGAGUACGGCCGCAAGGCUGAAACUCAAAGGAAUUGACGGGGGCCCGCACAAGCGGUGGAGCAUGUGGUUUAAUUCGAAGCUACGCGAAGAACCUUACCAGGUCUUGACAUACUAUGCAAAUCUAAGAGAUUAGACGUUCCCUUCGGGGACAUGGAUACAGGUGGUGCAUGGUUGUCGUCAGCUCGUGUCGUGAGAUGUUGGGUUAAGUCCCGCAACGAGCGCAACCCUUAUUAUCAGUUGCCAGCAUUAAGUUGGGCACUCUGGUGAGACUGCCGGUGACAAACCGGAGGAAGGUGGGGAUGACGUCAAAUCAUCAUGCCCCUUAUGACCUGGGCUACACACGUGCUACAAUGGAUGGUACAACGAGUUGCGAACUCGCGAGAGUAAGCUAAUCUCUUAAAGCCAUUCUCAGUUCGGAUUGUAGGCUGCAACUCGCCUACAUGAAGUCGGAAUCGCUAGUAAUCGCGGAUCAGCAGCCGCC